rnacentral:rRNA from 1 species
GACGAACGCUGGCGGCGUGCUUAACACAUGCAAGUCGAACGGUGAAGGGAUCAGCUUGCUGGUUCUGGAUGAGUGGCGAACGGGUGAGUAACACGUGAGUAACCUGCCCCCUUCUUCUGGAUAACCGCAUGAAAGUGUGGCUAACACGGGAUAUUCUGGGUCUGUCGCAUGAUGGGUCUGGGAAAGAUAUUGUUUCGGUGGGGGAUGGGCUCGCGGCCUAUCAGGUUGUUGGUGGGGUGAUGGCCUACCGAGGCGGUGACGGGUAGCCGGGCUGAGGGGGUGGACGGUCACACGGGGACUGAGACACGGCCCAGACUGGUACGGGAGGGAGCAGUAGGGAAUAUUGCAGGAUGGACGCAAGCCUGAUGCAGCGACGCCGGGUGAGGGAGGGCGGCCUUCGGGAUGUAAACCUCUUUGGGCAGAAAAGCAGGCCUGCUCCUUGUGGGUGGGUUGACGGUAGCUGGAUAAGAAGCGCCGGCUAACUACGUG